AGAUUGAACGCUGGCGGCAGGCCUAACACAUGCAAGUCGAGCGGUAGAGAGGUGCUUGCACCUCUUGAGAGCGGCGGACGGGUGAGUAGUGCCUAGGAAUCUGCCUAGUGGUGGGGGAUAACGUUCGGAAACGGACGCUAAUACCGCAUACGUCCUACGGGAGAAAGCGGGGGACCCUCGGGCCUCGCGCCAUUAGAUGAGCCUAGGACGGAUUAGCUAGUUGGUGAGGUAAUGGCUCACCAAGGCGACGAUCCGUAACUGGUCUGAGAGGAUGAUCAGUCACAC
rnacentral:rRNA from 1 species